GAUGAACGCUGGCGGUGUGCCUUAUACAUGCAUGUCGAACGAGGCGUAGCAAUACGUCUAGUGGCAAAUGGGUGAGUAAUAAAUAGGUAACCAACCCUUAAGACGGGGAUACCCCAUCGAAAGAUGGAAUAAUACCCGAUAAUGUCCCUUCCGGUGCGCUGGAGGGGAAGAAAGAUGGCGCAAGCUAUCACUUUUGGACGGGCUUAUUUCCUAUCAGCUAGUUGGUGAGGUAACGGCUUACCAAGGCUACGACGGGUAGCUGGUCUGAGAGGACGGUCAGCCACAUUGGGACUGCGACACGGCCCAGACUCCUACGGGAGGCAGCAGUCGGGAAUAUUCGGCCAAUGCGCGAAAGCGUGACCGAGCGACACCGCGUGGGCGACGAAGAUCUUAGGAUUGUAAAGCCUUUUGCCAGGGAAGAAUACGCUGGGACAAUAUCAAUAGCGUUUGACGGUACCUGGCGAAUAAGCCGCAGCAAACUACGUGCCAGCAGCCGCGGUAAAACGU
rnacentral:rRNA from 1 species